rnacentral:rRNA from 1 species
AUUGAACGCUGGCGGCAGGCUUAACACAUGCAAGUCGAGCGGAGAGAGGUAGCUUGCUACUGAUCUUAGCGGCGGACGGGUGAGUAAUGCUUAGGAAUCUGCCUAUUAGUGGGGGACAACAUUUCGAAAGGAAUGCUAAUACCGCAUACGUCCUACGGGAGAAAGCAGGAGAUCUUCGGACCUUGCGCUAAUAGAUGAGCCUAAGUCGGGUUAGCUAGUUGGUGGGGUAAAGGCCUACCAAGGCGACGAUCUGUAGCGGGUCUGAGAGGAUGAUCCGCCACACUGGGACUGAGACACGGCCCAGACUCCUACGGGAGGCAGCAGUGGGGAAUAUUGGACAAUGGGCGCAAGCCUGAUCCAGCCAUGCCGCGUGUGUGAAGAAGGCCUUAUGGUUGUAAAGCACUUUAAGCGAGGAGGAGGCUACUUUAGUUAAUACCUAGAGAUAGUGGACGUUACUCGCAGAAUAAGCACCGGCUAACUCUGUGCCAGCCGCCGCCGUAACAC